GACGAACGCUGGCGGCGUGCUUAACACAUGCAAGUCGAACGCCCCGCAAGGGGAGUGGCAGACGGGUGAGUAACACGCGGGAACGUAACCUUUGGUUAGGAAUAACUUGGGGAAACUCAAGCUAAUACCGGAUAAGCCCUUGUGGGGAAAGGUUUACUGCCGAAGGAUCGGCCCGCGUUUGAUUAGGCAGUUGGUGAGGUAAUGGCUCACCAAGGCGACGAUCAGUGGCAGGUCGGAGAGGAUGAUAAGCCAGACUGGGAGUGAGACACGGACCAGAUUCCUACGGGAGGCAGCAGUGGGGAAUAUUGGACAAUGGGGGCAACCCUGAUCCAGCCAUGCCGCGUGAGUGAUGAAGGCCUUAGGGUUGUAAAGCUCUUUUACCCGGGACGAUAAUGACUGUACCGGGAGAAUAAGCCCCGGCUAACUUCGUGCCAGCCGCCGCGGUAA
rnacentral:rRNA from 1 species